ensembl:lncRNA
ACAGGCAGGGUUUAUUUUCUCCUAGCAUUAGAGCUUGGAGCUCUCCAGGUAGACAGCUGGAGACACCAGGUUAGCAGCUGCCCAGCGUCCAGUCGGGGCCUGUGACUGCUGCACAAGCUCCUCACCCCCAGGGCUGCCCCAGUCAUUUGCUACCAAGACUCCUGUCACAGGCUGCUCCUGAACCAAUCACUGGAUUGACUGGCUCAGGCUGGUCACCGCCCUCCUUGAAGAGAAAGAGGCUGCAACUCCCAGAUCAAGGGACCUUUGCCCAGCACUGAAAAUGGGAGCCCAUAAGGAAGGAGGUGGCUGUCUGGUGGCAAUGAACAGUGUUUGCCACGGGGAGGUGUCUGAACAUCCAGAGGGCGUGCUCCUCUCACUUCACCAACACUGAGGGAGCACACCUGGUGUGUGACUGGCCACCUGGGCAUGCAUGUGAGCCUGGCAUCCGUGUGCCAUACUGCACAGACACGGGCAGGUGCUCAGACGGUCCCUCCCUGCAGAGGAGGCCAACAAUGGAGGCAGGGCAUUGCUGUUGGAAGGAACAGCCAGGCCACCCUGCUAAGACUGAGGGGAAGGUGGCGUGGGUGGAGGUCUCAAGGGCAAAUUAGGUCACUAUAGGGGGUUUGGAUUUUCUUCCGAGAAGCCUGUGGAUUUUUGAGCAGGAAUAGAUGCUCAAGCCUGGCCUGUUUUACUUGUUUAUUUACAGACAGGGUCUCACUCUGUCCCCAAGGCUGGAGUGCAGUGGUACAAUUAUAGCUCACUACAGCCUCGACCUACUGGGCUCAAGUGAUCCUCCCACCUCAGCCUCCCAAAUUGCUAGGACAAAUGCCACCACGCCUGGCUAAUUAAAACAAAUAUUGUUGGCCAGGCGUGGUGGCUCAUGCCUGUAAUCCCAGCGCUUUGGGAGGCUGAGGCGGGUGGAUCACCUGAGGACAAAUAAAAGGACACAAAAACACAAAGACAUACCCACCCUCCUUGCUCCCUAUUGCUACACCCUUUGUUCUGCUUUCUUAUCUCUGCAUGUACCAGAGGUUUUGAAUUUUUGAAAGUUCUGUAAGUACCUGUUUUUCUUCCUGGGGCUAGGUCACAAGACAUGUUUAAGUAAGAUAAACUCAUGCUGCCAUAAACCAGUUGUGCAACCUGACGCAAUAUAAUUAACUGCCUUUGUGCAGAAACUGCUCUUCCGUCUCAAGGGUUGAACUGAGAUACCAGAAAUGGCGGGAACCAAUCAUAGUUAGCCAAAUCGCCUUGUUCAAACACCAGCCAAUCAUACAUCUGAUCUGUAUAAUGAUUCUAUGACCACUCUUCUGAGACUAUAUAACAUUGUUUAAUGCUCUGUGGGGGAACUCUCUCUCUUGACCCUCUCAUUUCGAGAGUGAGCGAGAGUUCCAGGUUCGAACCUGUAAUAAAGAUCCUUGCUGCUUAGCUUCGACUCUGGACUCUGGUGGUCUUCUUCGGGGAAUAAACGGACUGGGCCUAACAGACCCACCCCUCCUCGGCCUCCCAAAGUGCUGGGAUUGCAGGCUUGAGCCACUGUGCCCGGCCGACAGAUGUUUUUAAGAGAUCACCUUGUCUGCUGGGUGGAGAAUCUUUCUAGUGGGUCAAAAGGUGAAGGCAGGAGACAGAAGUGUGGGCACAGGUAAAAUACAGAGGCCUGGGAGCGUGGAGGGGCCCCAGGAGGGCUGUCUCAGGGGCUGCUGCUGUGCCUUCCUAGGAGCCCGCAGGGGCUCCAGGCCCCUUAUCCCCACCUGCAAUGUGCAACUCAUUACCUGGCUUCAGACAGGUUUCUGAUAAGAACCAAGGAGGUCCAGUGCCUGUGCCUCUAAGAAUGCUGCUUCUUGGGGAAAAUCCUGCCUCUCAGGCACUUUGCAUCUUCUGAGUCUUCUGGCCACUGAGCCCUCACACCCUCCC